rnacentral:rRNA from 1 species
GGGGAAUAUUGGACAAUGGGCGCAAGCCUGAUCCAGCCAUGCCGCGUGAGUGAUGAAGGCCUUAGGGUUGUAAAGCUCUUUCAGUAGGGAAGAUAAUGACGGUACCUACAGAAGAAGCCCCGGCUAACUUCGUGCCAGCAGCCGCGGUAAUACGAAGGGGGCUAGCGUUGUUCGGAUUUACUGGGCGUAAAGCGCACGUAGGCGGAUUGGUCAGUUAGGGGUGAAAUCCUGGAGCUCAACUCCAGAACUGCCUUUAAUACUGCCAGUCUAGAGUCCGGAAGAGGUGAGUGGAACUCCUAGUGUAGAGGUGGAAUUCGUAGAUAUUAGGAAGAACACCAGUGGCGAAGGCGGCUCACUGGUCCGGUACUGACGCUGAGGUGCGAAAGCGUGGGGAGCAAAC